rnacentral:rRNA from 1 species
UACAGAGGGGGCUAGCGUUGUUCGGAAUUACUGGGCGUAAAGAGCGUGUAGGCGGCCAGGUAGGAUCCUGCGUGUGAAAAACUCGAGGCUCAACCUCGAGACGUCGGCGGAAACCAUCUGGCUAGAGUCCGGAAAGAGGAGAGUGGAAUUCCUGGUGUAGCGGUGAAAUGCGCAGAUAUCAGGAAGAACACCUAUGGCGAAGGCAGACUCUCGUGGGAACGGUACCUGAGCUGAGACGCGAAAGCGUGGGGAGCGAACAGG